CCUACGGGAGGCAGCAGUGAGGAAUAUUGGUCAAUGGACGAGAGUCUGAACCAGCCAAGUAGCGUGAAGGAUGACUGCCCUAUGGGUUGUAAACUUCUUUUAUAUGGGAAUAAACUGUUCCACGUGUGGGAUUUUGUAUGUACCAUAUGAAUAAGGAUCGGCUAACUCCGUGCCAGCAGCCGCGGUAAUACGGAGGAUCCGAGCGUUAUCCGGAUUUAUUGGGUUUAAAGGGAGCGUAGGUGGAUUGUUAAGUCAGUUGUGAAAGUUUGCGGCUCAACCGUAAAAUUGCAGUUGAAACUGGCAGUCUUGAGGACAGUAGAGGUGGGCGGAAGUCGUGGUGGAGCGGUGAAAUGCUUAGAUAUCACGAAGAACUCCGAUUGCGAAGGCAGUUCACUGGACUGCAACUGACACUGAGGCUCGAAAGUGUGGGUAUCAAACAGGAUUAGAUACCCUAGUAGUC
rnacentral:rRNA from 1 species